UUCUCAGGGCCUUCUGCCAAGGGCCCGCUUUGAUCUCCCUUAAAGGACAGCAUUAUCUGACCAGAGACCCAUGCAGGAGACCUCUCCAGGUACACAUAUUUCCUGCUACUGAAUGGCUUAGACUGGGAUUUGCAAGGAACUACGAAGUCCAAGACCUUUGCCUUUCUUUUAGAAGAAGGCACCAGCUGGUUCUCCAAUGUUGAAGGUCUUCUCCAGAGAUGGGCAUGCAGAAGGAGUGAAAAAACAAGAAGGAAGACAAGGAAGACAUUGUUUUGGCUGCUGACAUUUCCUGAAAGAUCUGAGGCGUCCCCUUCACUUCGGGCAUGGGACCCAGACGGCUGAGUGAUGGACCUUAAGGUGUGGGGAGAUUACAACUUGCUCAAGGUCUCAUAGCUAGAAGAUGUCAGAGUGAUAACUCAAACCAUGUCACAUGACUCUAAGCCCAAAGCAGCCUCUAGAAGGUUGUUUGAUCUUCUGAUGGAAGCACAAAUCACCAUUCCAACAUGAAAGAUGGAGAAACUUAAGUCUAGAGAGAUUUAAAGGACUUGUCAAAGGCAAUGAAACAAGUGAUGAGGAAACUGAGGCCCAGAGAGGAUAAAUGACUUGCUCAAGGUUAGCCAGUUGGUCAAUGGCAAAGAUUAAACCAGAACCCAGAUC
rnacentral:lncRNA from 10 species